rnacentral:lncRNA from 1 species
GCUGAACUGGAAUCAAGACUUUCCGUUAACAACAAAGACCGAGAUACAUCGAGUCAUUGAAAGAACUGGGUUGACCAUAUUAAC